GGAAAGCCUAAAGAGAGACACAAAACAACAUGGGGAUUUCUUUCAUUGCAGCAUUCCUUGCCGUUCUCCUCUUCAUUCCAGCUAGUGUGUUUUCACAACACGUUCAUACAUUCCAUGAUAACAAUGGCGAAAAUACACCAUGGAAUGAGACAAAAGAGAACAUUGGAAGCAAGAAGAAGAAUAGUGGGCAAAAUGAUCAAGUGACCAAGAGAAGCCAUCCACUACAAGUUGCUGCAGGGUCCAGAUUGCCUGACUGCUCUCAUGCAUGUGGAUCCUGCAUACCAUGCCGAUUAGUGAUGGUUAGGUUUCUAUGUGCCUCACUCACUACUCAAUCUGAAACCUGCCCUAUUUCCUAUAGAUGUAUGUGUAAUGGAAAAUAUUAUCCCGUUCCAUAAACCAACCCCCAAUCCCCCUCCCCUUCCCUCCCCCCACAACGCAAAAAAAAAAAAAAAAAAAAAAAAAAAGGUU